CAUUGGUGGCUAUAUUGUUUAUAAAAGUUUGUUUUUCAUUUAUGAAUCACGGAAUUAUUCGCAGGAUGAGACAUAAAUCUGUAACUUUACACAACAAUGAUCUUUGUCAGUAAAAUGUGUCAAAAAAUUAAGAACAUCAAAUUAUAACCAAUAAAAAAGUAAUGUUUGUAAACAAAAUUCUAGCAUAAUAUAGAUAAUAAUUAAAUUAAACGAACAAAACUCGUGAAGACUCAACUUUUUCGCAAGCAAUUUCAAUUGUAUCUCUACUACUAAAAGCCCUAACAUAAAUAUUCUCAACCUUUGAACAUGUGAACAUGGCUAUAAUACAAAGAGGCGAGGUGAUCGGCAAUAGCUGGAUGUCUGGAAACAAGGUCAGGUUCUUGAUAGGUUGUGCUAUCUGUGUAAUUUUUGUUUCGAUUGUGUUAGUCGCUAUUUUCGCGUUUGUAGAGGUAUAAUGAAUAAAGACAUGGAUAAUUGA